UACGGAGGGGGCUAGCGUUGUUCGGAAUACUGGGCGUAAAGCGUGCGCAGGCGGUUAUGUAAGACAGUUGUGAAAUCCCCGGGCUCAACCUGGGAACUGCAUUUGUGACUGCAUGGCUGGAGUGCGGCAGAGGGGGAUGGAAUUCCGCGUGUAGCAGUGAAAUGCGUAGAUAUGCGGAGGAACACCGAUGGCGAAGGCAAUUCCCUGGGCCUGCACUGACGCUCAUGCACGAAAGCGUGGGGAGCAAACAGG
rnacentral:rRNA from 1 species